UACAGAGGUCUCAAGCGUUGUUCGGAUUCAUUGGGCGUAAAGGGUGCGUAGGUGGCGUGGUAAGUCGGGUGUGAAAUUUCGGAGCUUAACUCCGAAACUGCAUUCGAUACUGCCGUGCUUGAGGACUGGAGAGGAGACUGGAAUUUACGGUGUAGCAGUGAAAUGCGUAGAGAUCGUAAGGAAGACCAGUGGCGAAAGCGGCUCACUGGACCACAACUGACGCUGAGGCGCGAAAGCUAGGGGAGCAAACAGG
rnacentral:rRNA from 1 species